rfam:Salmonella enterica subsp. enterica serovar Typhimurium str. LT2, complete genome.
CCUGCGGAGCUGUUGGCGCCAUACACGGGUGAUAUUGCGGCGGAAAGUAUCGGUAAGGUCGUGCGUGGCGGGGCUAAAUUCCUGCGCCACGGGUUUCAACGCCAGCAGCGUUAUGCCGCUGAAGCGAUCACUGAAGAGUGGCGUAUGGCGCCUGGCCCGCUGGAAGUCGCAUGGUUUGCCGAAGAAACCGCGGCUGUUGAGCGCGCCGUAGAUUCUCUGACCACACGGCUGGAAAAACUGGAGGCCAAAUGA